rnacentral:rRNA from 1 species
GAAAUGCGAUACGUAAUGUGAAUUGCAGAAUUCAGUGAAUCAUCGAAUCUUUGAACGCACCUUGCGCCCCUUGGUAUUCCGAGGGGCACACCCGUUUGAGUGUCGUGAAAACCUCAACCUUCUCGGUUUCUUCUGGACGCCGAAGGAGGCUUGGACUUUGGAGGCCUUUUGCUGGCGUCUCUCACGCCAGCUCCUCUUAAAUGUAUUAGCGGGGUCCUCUUUGCCGAUCCUCGACGUGUGAUAAGAUGUUUUCCAUGUCUUGGUUUCUGGCUCUGUCGCUUUUGGGACCCGCUUCUAACCGUCUUGACCUCGCGUCGAGACAACGUUUGGGUGCGUCUCCCUUCUCGGGAAACGCUCUCGACCACGCGAACCCCUUGACCUCAAAUCGGGUGAGACUACCCGCUGAACUUAA